rnacentral:lncRNA from 1 species
UUUUUUUUGGUUUCUGGGCCGGGUGUGGGUUGGAUUCGGGUCGGGUCGGCCCGAAAAAAUAUUAUUUUUCUUUUUUCUUUCUUUCCCUUUUUUCUCUCUUUUUUCCUUCCUUCUUUUUCUUCUUUCUUUUUCCUUCUUCGUUCGGCCCCUAGUCCAAAUUCACGCUACUACGCCGCCGCCGCUUCUUCCGCCCGUGGUACGAUGGUGCCGAUACUCCCCCUUCUUCCUCUUCUCUCUUUUUUCUUUCCCUUCUCUUUUUCCUCUUUUUCUCUUUUUUUCUUUUUCUUUUUCUAUUCUUUUUCCCUUCGAAAACUCGAAAACUAAAGGCGUCACCACUCCCUCCAGUCCACCAUUUGUUGUUCGGUCUUCCUCCGCCCUAGGUGACCGUGGAAGAGGGCCGAAAUUCCUUGCUAACUUUGAUUUUGCUGCUGCUCUUUUUUACUGUUUUUUUUUGGUUUUUUGGUUGCUUGCGGAUUGUGGCGAAUGAUUGUUGGUUUCGAUCGUGGUGGUGUUACGACGGGGCUGCGGGUGCGGUGGCGGUGGCGAUGAGUGUGAGAUCGGUUGAUUUGAGAGAUUUUUUGCUGCUUGAAUUUUCUCUGCUGGUUUUUUUUCUCUUGGUUGCCGAAAAAUCCCCCCUCUUUCCCCUCAAUUUUUCUUUUUAAUCUCUCAAAUUUGUCUUCUUCC